GAUGAAGAACGUAGCGAAAUGCGAUAAGUAAUGUGAAUUGCAGAAUUCAGUGAAUCAUCGAGUUUUUGAACGCAUAUUGCGCCCUCUGGUAUUCCGGGGGGCAUGCCUGUUCGGGCGUCAUUAAAUAACCCUCAAGCAUAGCUUGGUGUUGGGCUUUUUUACGUCCUUGACUGGGAUGGGCCUAAAAAUUAGUGGCGAUGGCUUUUUUACUUUCAAGCGUAGUAAAUCUCGUCUUGCUAAAGAGGAAAAAGAUUUUUUUUCUGCCAAAAAUUUUAACAUUUAAAGUUGACCUCGGAUCAGGUAGGAUUACCCGCUGAACUUAAGCAUAUCAAUAAGCGGAGGA
rnacentral:misc_RNA from 1 species